rnacentral:rRNA from 1 species
UGCCAGCCGCCGCGGUAAUACGGAGGGUGCAAGCGUUGUUCGGAUUUAUUGGGCGUAAAGCGAGUGUAGGCGGUUUAGCAAGUCGGAUGUGAAAUCCCAGGGCCCAACCCUGGAACUGCAUUUCGAACUGGCAGGCUAGAGUGUGAUAGAGGGUGGUAGAAUUUCAGGUGUAGCGGUGAAAUGCGUAGAGAUCUGAAGGAAUACCGAUGGCGAAGGCAGCCACCUGGGUCAACACUGACGCUCAUGUACGAAAGCGUGGGGGGCAAACAGGAUUAGAUA